UACAGAGGGGGCAAGCGUUAUUCGGAAUUAUUGGGCGUAAAGGGCGCGUAGGCGGCCUGGCAAGUGGAAGGUGAAAUCCCUCGGCUUAACCGAGGAACUGCCUCCCAAACUGCUUGGCUUGAGACCGGGAGAGGUGAGUGGAAUUCCCAGUGUAGCGGUGAAAUGCGUAGAUAUUGGGAAGAACACCAGCGGCGAAAGCGCGCUACUGGGCCAUUACUGACACUCAUGGACGAAAGCUAGGGGAGCGAAAGGG
rnacentral:rRNA from 1 species